rnacentral:rRNA from 1 species
UACGUAGGGUGCGAGCGUUGUCCGGAAUUACUGGGCGUAAAGAGCUCGUAGGUGGUUUGUCGCGUUGUCCGUGAAAACUCACAGCUUAACUGUGGGCGUGCGGGCGAUACGGGCAGACUGGAGUACUGCAGGGGAGACUGGAAUUCCUGGUGUAGCGGUGGAAUGCGCAGAUAUCAGGAGGAACACCGGUGGCGAAGGCGGGUCUCUGGGCCUUGCCUGACGCUGAGGCGCGAAAGCUAGGGGAGCGAACAGG